UACAGAGGUCCCAAGCGUUGUUCGGAUUCAUUGGGCGUAAAGGGUGCGUAGGCGGCUUUGUAAGUCAGUAGUGAAAUACCCCAGCUCAACUGGGGGGGUGCUAUUGAUACUGCAUGGCUUGAGUACAGAUGAGGUAGGCGGAAUUGACGGUGUAGCGGUGAAAUGCAUAGAUAUCGUCAAGAACACCGAUAGCGAAGGCAGCUUACUAAGUUGUAACUGACGCUGAUGCACGAAAGUGUGGGGAUCAAACAGG
rnacentral:rRNA from 1 species